rnacentral:rRNA from 1 species
GAUGAACGCUGGCGGCGUGCCUAACACAUGCAAGUCGAACGGAGACGUUUUGGUAAUCUCUUCUGAGAUGGAAUUCUCCGCUUAAGUGCGGACGGGGUAAUAACCCGUGGGCAAUCUGCCUUUUAGAGGGGGCUAACAGUCGGGAACGGCAGGUAAUACCGCAUCAAGCAUUGAAUUCGCAUGUUUUUGCUGUCAGAGGAGGAAUCCCCUUUUAUAAGAGCUCGCGUCUGGUUAGCGAGUUGGCGGGGUAACGGCGCAACAAGGCGAGGAUCAGUAGCCGGACUGAGGGGGUGAGCGGCCACAUUGGGACUGAGACACGGCACAGACUCCUACGGGAGGCAGGAGUGGGGAAUAGUGCGCAAUGGGGGAAACCCUGACGCAGCAACGGCGCGUGAUAGAAGAAGGCCUUCGGGUUGUAAAGAUCUUUAAUCAGGGACGAAACAAAUGACGGUACCUGAAGAAUAAGCUCCGGCUAACUACGUG